GAUGAACGCUGGCGGCGUGCCUAAUACAUGCAAGUAGAACGCUGAAGGAGGAGCUUGCUCUUCUGGAUGAGUUGCGAACGGGUGAGUAACGCGUAGGUAACCUGCCUGGUAGCGGGGGAUAACUAUUGGAAACGAUAGCUAAUACCGCAUGACAACAGUUAUUGCAUGAUAACUGUUUAAAAGGGGCAACUGCUCCACUACCAGAUGGACCUGCGUUGUAUUAGCUAGUUGGUGAGGUAACGGCUCACCAAGGCGACGAUACAUAGCCGACCUGAGAGGGGGGUCGGCCCCCCUGGGACUGGGACACGGCCCAGACUCCUACGGGGGGCAGCCGUAGGGGAUCUUCGGCCAUGGACGGAAGUCUGACCGGGCAACGCCGGGGGAGUGAAGAAGGUUUUCGGGUCGUAAAGCUCUGUUGUAAGGGAAGAACGAAUGUGAGAGUGGAAAGUUCACACUGUGACGGUAUCUUACCAGAAAGCGACGGCUAACUACGUG
rnacentral:rRNA from 1 species